rnacentral:lncRNA from 1 species
AAUUAAUCCCAAAAUGUAAUACGGUGGAACAGUGAAAAAUUAUGUUUGAUGAUGUCAGCCUCCCAACUUAUUCUGAUGCCAAGGCCGACACCAAUACCAAUCCCACCCAUACCAAUCCCCAGAAUAAAGCCUCUAUCCAAAAGAGUAAAAAUAUCUGGUUGGGACAUGCCCCCAACCAUGGCCAAAAUUAAUAUCCAAAAUAAAAUAAAAGUGUCUAAAGAUGUCUAUAACAUGAAAUAGAGCCUUCCAAAAGGAUGGAAGCUCACUACUUUAGUCCAAGUGCUGAUACCGAAAUCUGAAUGCUAGAUAGGGGGAUUAAAAUGGUCGGUACCUGUAUAGCAUGGGUAUAUAGCUUUCAGUAGAUGGGUUAGCGAGUGAUCGUUAGCAUGAACUCAGGAUAAGGAUAAAAUAAUGUCAUUUAUAAAACCAAGUAAAAACAUCCAUAAUACUACAACCAUACAUACAUAUAUAGGUGUCGGGAAAAGGAUCCAGGUUUAGCAUGCAUUUAAAACCUUUACCUGGGUGUGUAGCUUUGCCUUCUUGAGACACACACGGAUAAUAUAGGCUCAGCACCUCCUGUUAAAAGGGCCCAGUGCAUGUAGCUGCACGACCAGGGAAGUAUCUCAUGGAAUGACUAGUACAUCCCCCCAAUAUAAGGUGUGACAUCAUGCACACGAUCACCAAGACCAAACCUCGUAUUGGAUAAUAUGAAUUUCCAGUUUUGGUUCCCCCGAGACCUCCACCUUCCACAACUUAGCUACACCUCCCCCCCUUUAAUGCCCAAUUAAAACCAUUACCAAGGAAUCCAUUAAACCAUUUAUUUACCAAGGCCCUUUAGUGGUGGCAUCGUCAUACCAACCAUACUUGUAAGCAUUAUCCAUAGUCAACCAUUUAUAGAUUAAGGGGACUUUCAAGUGCCCUUCUAUGUACCGUAUUAAACCUCUUGGGGGAUUCCCUACCUCACAAGCAAAACCAUUUAGCCAUUUACCAUUCCAAACCAUUUAAACUAUGCAUAAAUCCUUUACCAAGUUUAAAACAGGUAAGAGUUCCAUUUAAAAGUAAUCAAUGUAAUAAACAUAUCUUUAUAAGCAUUUUGUCAAACACAUUAGGGGCAUAGUAUAUAUCCAAAACCAAUUCCAAUUACCAAUAACCAUUAUAGGUAUUUUAAUUAUCCAAAUCCACCAUUAAUGCAUAUAAAAGGGUAAUUAAAACCAUGGGAAAUCAUAACCAAUUAUUUAUAAAUAAAACCCCCAAAUUAUAUUUGAAAAGCCAAAGUAUACAAUAAUGAAAUCAUGAAAGCCAAUAAUAAUAUCAUGUCAUUAGUUGGAACUAACAAUGAGGGAAGGAGUACAUGCCUUAAACUGAGGAAUUGAUUGAAAGAAAUCACCAAAGCAAGCCCCAAAUUAGUCCUCAAGAUAAAACCCUAGCUUUCUUUCCCCAAAAUCUCUUGAGAGAAUUAUGAAAUGUUUAGGAAUAGUUUCUAAGUGUUAAUGAAUAGAAUCAUAGGGUAAGUACUCUUCUAAGUGAGUUAGAAGUCGUGGGUUCUUAUUGGGUUAAUUAGAGAAAUGUCAAAAAUACCCCCACUUAAGUUGCACAAAAUUCCCGUCACAGCGAUACGACUGACCCCCACGAGCCGUACCCUUCCUAUACGAGUGGUAACCACCACUCAUAUCCCAACCUCAACCCUUAGACGCAAUACUGUCCAAUAUACGACUCAUCCAACCAAGUCGUAUCCCCAGCAUAUGAUUUGUACCUCCCAUCUGUAUCCCUGGCAGAAUAGAAUACCAAGAGGAUUGAAUAUUAUCCACUAUAUGAGUAUAAGAUACGACUCACACCCAACCAUAUAACUCUUAUCCCCUAAGUCGUAUCUAUUCCAAUAACCAUCCAAUCCCACCAACCAAUACUGGUCAGCAUAUAACAGGUUUAUACCACUCAUACCCCAACAUACAGCUUGUACCCAUGAGUCGUAUUGGGUCCAGAGAACGGAAUUCCAAGAAAAAAAUUCUAAGGACCAAAACCAAAGAUGUUUCACUGUUGGUCUUCACCCUUUUAUGUACCAAAGAUAUUGGAACAUCAUGGGGUAGGCAGUGACUCAUUUUUGCAUUGAUAUCUUCAAUAAGGGUGCCAUGGACCCUAAAGUGAAUAAUACCUACCUGUGCCUUAUCCCUAAAUGUUCCAAUGCCUCUAGCCUGAAGAACUUCAAACCUAUAUUAGACUGUGUAAUAUCCAAUAUAAUUUUGUUACCAAGAUUAUUGCUAAAAGGCUUAGACCCUACCUGUCUGAAUUAAUUGGUCCAAGCCAAGCCAGUUUUCUCCCCAAUAGAAGGACCUCCGACAAUGCCAUUAUUAUCCAAUAAGUCAUUUCCCACUUCCAAAAAAUGAAGGGUAAACAAGGUAAUAUGAUCUUCAAGAUUGACCUAAAAAAAGGCUUUUGAUAGACUAGAAUGGUAUUUCAUUAGGCAAGACCUUCACUUCUUUAGGAUACCCCUAGACCGACCUUCAUUAUUAUGUUUUGUAUUUCUAUCUCAUUCAUUACUAUUCUGGUUAAUAGAGAAAGAACUGAGUUUUUUCAGUCCACUAGAGGCAUCAGGCAAGAGGAUCCCAUCUCCCUCUACCUCUUUAUUAUAUGUAUGGAACUCUUCUCUAAGAGAAUUGAUCAUGAAGUCAACGUUCUUAACUGGCAUCCCAUCUCCAUCAGUAAAUAGGUACUCCUCUUUCCCAUUUGUCCUUUGCUAAUGACCUAACCCUUUUUACCAAGGACACCAAGAGUAAAUGUGUCACUAUUAGGAAUGUUCUUUACAGUUUCAGCCUUUACUCUAGCCAAAGAGUUAACCAAGAAAAAUGUAAGGUGAUCUUUUCCGGGAACUGUUCCCCUAAAAUCAAAGUCGUGUUCUUUCAAUCCCUCUCUAUCUAAGCUUCUAACUCUUUUGGUAAAUAUUUAGGCUUCCCCAUCCUUCAUAAAAGACCCUACAAUAGUGAUUACCAGUUCACUAUUGAUAACUUCAACUCAAAACUAGCUACAAGGAAAAAUAACUUCCUCUCUAUGGCUAGGAGAAUUACCCUGACUAAAUCUUCUCCCAAUAGCAUUCCUACUCAUGUUAUGCAAUUUACAUAUCACCCCAGUAGAGUCCUGGCCUCCAUUGAUAGAACCCAGAGAAACUUUGUUUGGGGUUCCACUUUGAAGAAGAAGAAGAUGUGUUUUGUCAGCUGAGAUUGUCUUACCCAACCCAAGAAGGAAGAUGGCUUAGGGUUGCAGAAAGCAAAGCUCAUAAAUGCCACUAUUCAUGCUAGUUUUGCCUGGAGGUACUUCCAUAACCAUUCCAGACUCUGGGCCAACAUUCUUAGGGACAAAUACCACCAUAAGACUCACUCUAAUACCUUAGGCUCCUCCAAAAUCUGGAAGAACAUUCUUCAAAAAGGGGAGCACUAUAAGUUGGGUGCUCAAUGGGUAGUCUAUAAAGGUGAUAGGAUAAACUUCUGGUUGGAUAGAUGGAUCCCCAUUUGGGAUCCCAUAAGAAGUAUGAUUCCAGGUAUUUUUUCUGCUUCCUAGGUAAAUCUUACCCUUGCUGAGGCUUGUGAUGGGAUUAACUGAAAUUUUAACAACCUCUCCUUCGAACUCCCCCAAAAGCUGAUCAUGAAUAUAAAAUAUUCCUUUAGGUUUAACCCGGAAUCUCCAAUGAUCACCUGAUAUGGUGAUUGCAUGGAAAUGGGCUCUUCUCCUGUCAAAGCAUUUACUCCAUUCUAUCCAAGAAGAGUCAGGCCAACAUUGAGCUUCACCCUAGUCCUUUUCUUUGGAUUUGAAGGUUAAAUGCCCCCUAAAGUCAAAACUUUCCUUUGGAUUGCUCAACACAAUAGUCUUUCUAAUACAAGAAGACCAAGGAAAACAAGAAAAAGCUCAAAAUAGUCCACAAAUCAAGAGGAAUCUGAGGACCCCUUUGAGCGCUAAUUUCGGCCAUACAACAACAACACAAGAAUACAAGGAAACAAGGUGUAUUUAUACACCAAAACAAUCACUAAAACGCGAUGAACACAAAAAGAUAGACAACAAUAUGAUAAGGAUAAUAACAACAACAAACGGUUACAAGAUACAUUAACAAUAAGAAUAAACGGUUUCCCUAACCAAUACUAACUAAGUCAUGAAAUGUAGAGAUAGAUAGUGAGACAUACACUAUAAUAAGACCCAAGAACCCAAAGAUAUAUUAAAUCUAAGGACCCCUAGAACUUACGAUAGCAACACCACACUCUUACGAAGACACGAGAGUGAUUCCACCGCUCAAGCACCAUCUUCUCCAAGCAAUACACAUUCAUAAGUAAAUCCACACUUGCUCAUGUCCUAGUUUCGGCCUAGGGAGGCUCUCUCUCUUAAGAGAUGUGUUUUAUCUUCAACGUUCAACAACCAAUGAGCUAAAACACUAAUAUGUUCUACUUAUAGACUUAUUACAAUAAGAGACAAAAUGAUAAAAGUGCCCCUUAGGGUUAAAUGAACAAAAUGAAGCCCAUGGAGUGCAAUAGAGGGGCAACUUUGGAGCCCUUUUUACACUUUAACUCGUACACUCCGUAUGUUGCAUUCAAAAUACUCAAAAGCAUCCAUCUUCAUGAUCAUGCUUGUAUCAUCCUCUCCAUCUUGAGAGGAAAUUGACCUCAAAUUCACGGCACAAACCAAAUGAUAAUGGCUCCCAAAAUAGUCCACAAAAUAAGGAGAAACCGAGGACAUAACAACUUCAAGUCUCGGCCAAUAUCUUCAUUUUGCACCUUAACUUUCUCUCCAUCUUGAGAUUUUCCUUCAAUCUUAUUUGGCUCAAUUGAGUUUCAUCCCCGGCCAAGAUAACACUAGGAAUGUUGUUAUUUAUUAUAGCCAAGAAGUUACCUACAAAACACAAAUAAAUUAGUUGUACAAGAAAGGUCCUCACACUCUCCCUUUAUUUCUUUAUCUCUCGGAUUCCUCACACUUUAAUUUCACAAGUGUUGUAAGCUUGAUUGUACUCUGGGAGGUGUUGAGAGGUGAACCAAAUGUUUAUAAGGACUCAAAAAGAGACUAAGACGUACAAAGGAAUGUAGACACGAAGAAGGGUUUUCAAAACUAAUUUACAAUCAGUAAAUGGUCACUAGUUUGUAAAUUAGUUUUGGAAUCAACAAACGAAACUAAAGAACAACAAAUUGAAACUAGAAGAUCAAAAUUUGAGCCAAAAUUUGUUGCGUGAAUAGUAUAUAUGAUGACAUGGCAGUUUACAAUUGGUCACGUCCCACAUAAUUUGUUCAUCACUUGAAGUCUUAAUCUUUACAUAAUUUUUUGUAAUGACUUGAUAUUAGAGGAAAAGUAAAGUCUUGUAACCUUUCAACUUUUCAAACUCAAAAGGUGAGAUUUGACUUUACUAGUCCCACUAGACAAGGUCCCUUGUUUUAAGGAAAGUUGUUGGAAAAUAGUUGAUAAAGUUUUUGGUGGUUGUAGUGUAUUUCAAGACUAACAAGUCACACCCCCUUUUUCCUUCACCUUUAUGGAUCAAAUAAACACUUUAUUUUAACAAGACAUAAAGGUUAUGAAGAAUAUCAAGAACUACAACAACAUUCCCCAAGAACAACAACAAACUUCAAGAACAACCAAUAACAUCCAACUUCCAAGUCCAAAUCCAUAGCAACAACACAAGGCCAAGCUUAGAACAACAAUAACAUCACAAGACCAAGGUGAAAACUACAACAAAUGUAAGCUCAAAUCAAGAUAUAGACUUAAUGUGUUAGUGAGGAACAAAACUAACACUUAGAGACAACAAAGACAAGUAAAAAUCUCGGCCAAGACAUAACAAGAACACAGAUUUUGGCCAAGAACAAAACACGGAUAGAUUGCUCUUUUUUUGGAAUUUUCAAUUUUCAACAUUUUUUUUAAUUUUUCAACUAACAAGCUCAAGAUUAAUCUUUUGGGAAUAAGAUCAAGCUAUGCUUUGAUACCAAAUGAUACAAGAAGACCAAGGAACACAAGAAAAGGCUCAAAACAGUCUACAAAUCAAGAGAAAUCCGAGGAACCCUUUAAGAGCUAGUUUCGGCCAAACAACAACACAAGAAUACAAGGAAACAAGGUGCAUUUAUACACCAAAACAGCCACGAAAACAUGAAAAACACAAGAAGAUAGACAACAAUAUGAUAAGGAUAAUAACAACAAGAAGCAGUUACAAGAUACAUAAACAACAAGAACCAACGGUUUCCCUAAACACUAACUAAGACAUGAAAUAUAGAGACAGAUAGUGAGACAUACACUAUAAUAAGACCGAAGAACCCAAAGAUAUAUUAAAUCUAAGGACCCCUAGAACUUACUAUAGCAACACCACACUCUUACGAAAACAUGAGAGGGAUUCCACCGCUCAAGCACCAUCGUUUCCAAGCAAUACAUAUUCACAAGUAAAUCUACACUUGCCCAUGUCCUAGUUUUGACCUAGGGAGCCUCUCUCUCUCAAGAGAUGUGUUCUAUCAUCAACAUUCAACAACAAAUGAGCUAAAACCCUAAUAUGUUCUAUUUAUAGACUUAUUACAAUAAGAGACAAAAUGACAAAAGUCCCCUUAGUGUUAAAUGAACAAAAUGGAGCCCAUGGAGUGCAAUAAAAGAGAGAUUUUAGAGCCUUUUUUACACUUCAACUCGUACACUCCGUAUGUUGCAUUUAAAAUACUCAAAAGCAUCCAUCUUCAUGAUCGUGCUUAUAUCGUUUUCUACCUCCUUUCUCCUCUCUAGGAAGAGCAUUCCUAUCCUCCCUAGUUGUACCUUUUAUAGCUACUACACUAAAGAUAUCCCUCAUGUCUUCUUUGAUUUCCUCAUCAUCAAAGAUUUUUAGGCUACCCUUCUCCUUAAGGAGGAAAUACCCAUGAUAUUGAUAUAGGCAAACUCCACCCUAUCAACUGGUCAAAUACCUGGUCCAAUCUGAAAAAUACUAAAUAUGAUCAUAUACUCAACUGGCACACCAUUCUUAUUUUCAGCCUUCGGGGUCUUUGAAAAAACGAGAAUAGGAAUGUGUUCGACAAGAAAAGAGAGAAACCAACCUUUCAACAGAUUUAUGGUAAAGCAGUGGAAUAUCUUCAUUUGGCCUCUAGAAAUAAGCCCACCCUGACCUACAAAGUGAUUGACAUCAAGUGGAACCCCCUCCCUCCCAAGAAAACUACUUUAAGCUUAAUACUGAUGGCUCUUGUCUUGGGAACUCGGGUAAGGGGGGCAUUGGAGAGCGGGUAGUGAGAAAUAAUACGGGGGGCUAGAUCAAGGGUUUUUCUAAAGGAUACCCUUGGACCACUAACAACCACAUGGAACUUCUAUCCCUCGGGGAAGGCUUGGAACUAGUUGAAGAAUUCAGCCAAACUCCUACCGAAAUUAACAUUGAUUCUCUCAAAGUUCUAAAUAUGUUGUCAUCAGAUAAUCUAUUAUAUAAUGAUAUUAUUGAUGAUUCCAGGACAAAGCGAAGAAGCCUAGGAAACUUGAAGGUGCUCCACUGCUAUAGAGAGAGCAAAAUGGAAUUCCUGAUGCACUGGCCAAGUGGGGGGCGAAUUUGGAUAUUCAACUAGAUAGAAUGCUAUUUGAAGUUCCACCGAUGUGUGCUCACAAAGCAGUGUGGACAGACAUUGCAGGAACUUAUUUUGCUAGAUCAAUCAAGACUUGUAAUAAUUAUUCCCACGAAGAAAUUCCAAGUUAUUUUGUGUUAAACCCCUACUGAUUAAAUGGGGCAAAGAUUUGAUUUAUUAUUUUCCUUACUACAACUCCAGUUAACCAAAAAAAUAUUUUUAUUACAAGUGUUUGAAUAGGUUCUUGAAAUACAUGUCAGAAAUGACAUUCAAAAAUGAGUGAAUUUUAUAUUUGUAUUUUUAUAUUCUUACACUUGUAUAAAUAUUAAUCAUAGUGAGAUCUUUAUUCUUGGGGUGUUGGAUGGGGAUAUUCUUUAUUUACGCAAUCCUCAUUACGCGUUUAGGAAAAUUUAGGUUGUUAAUAUUUAUAUUAAAUUAAAUUAGAUAUUUAAUCAAAUAAUUCACGCUUUUUAUACUAAAAUAUUACGUAAUCUUUCUUUAGAAUAAAUUUUUCUUUAUUCAAUCUUUUUAUAUUUUCGUACAUAUUCUCAUGUACUUUUAUUUAUCUUCAUACAUUUUUUAUAUGGAUAUUUUUUAAGAUAACAUAUUCAAUUCACACAUUCUUUAUAUAUGAAUUGUUUAUAUCAUCUUAAUACACAUUUUAUAUUUGUAUUUACAAACAUUGAUUUUUUUUUCCUUGUUUAAUAAACCUAAGUCUGGUCGAAAACCACAUUUGUGGAUUCUGAAGGAUGCCUAACUUUUUUCCUUCGGAAUAAUUUGAACCCUUAUCUAGAAUCUAAAUUGAUUUUGUGGAUUAAAAUAAAAUCAUACUGGUUAAUAAAUAAAUAGGUUUUCUCAUUUUCCUUAAAAAUUAGGUGGUGACUCUGUAUAAAAAUCAAUUCUUUUUUAGUCCAUAAUAUCGUGCUUGUUUUAACCUUAGGUAAAAAUAGGGUAUAACAUAAGGCUCCUCACAAACUGCAGCAGAUCUAUAGAUGCAUCCCAACAAUCAUAAUGUGUACUUUGUGGAAGAUAAGAAACAAUAGAAAAUAUGGAGAAGAUACCAAUUUUUUGUGGUGUAUCAAAUUCAGGACCUGAUCAGGAAGCUGGUAAACACUUUAUAUCCAUGAAUCAAAUUACAGAUUUGGAAUUGGCCUGAGGUGGUGGAGAAAAUGAGAAACUAUACCCCUGAGUUGCAUUAUCAGAAGGUGGUGUGGAAAAUGUCAGAAAUAAAUAAGCUGAAAUGUAACACUGGUGGAGCAUGUAGCGGAAAUCCAGGAUGGAGCUCAAUAAGUUUUUGCAUAAGUAAUGGAAAGGGUGAACUAAUUUAUGCUAGAUCACAACAAAUAGGAUGGAGUACCAAUAUGGAGGUAGAGUCAAGAGCAAUAGAGGAAGCAUUGAAUUAUUGUCAGGAAAAGGAGCUAGUGGAGAUCACUUUAGAGACAGAUUCUCUAAUCCUAGCUAACAUGAUUACAAUACAAUGGCAAGUCCCAUGAGAGUUAAUAGAAAUAGGUGAAAAUAUCAGACAUAUCAUUUAAUUAAUAAGAGCAAGCAUAACAAAUACAUUCAGGGAAGGGAACAUGGUGGAAAAUUAAUUAGCUAAUGAAACUAUUGAAAAUCAACUGUUAAAGGAAAACAAUAGUUUCACACAGCUAGCCUGCAGAGCCAAGGGUUUGAUUAGCAUGGACAGGGCUCAAGUUCCAAAUCUAAGGAUCAGAAGCAAAGCAAUUAAAAGCAACAUAUUUCAGCAUGCAUAACUAUUAUAUUUCACAUAACAGACGAGACAGGGAGAAGGUAAUUAAUUUACAAUCUAGAGAUGCAGAAAGGAAAUCAACAACCACAUAGCCCAUAAAUUUACAAAGUAUAUCUAAAAUAAGACAUGGCUGUGAAAUUACAAGCUAAAAAACAAGUUUCAACCAUCAAAAAAACUCACCAAAAAACAAGGGUAGAAGGGUCCUGCAUUCAAAGGAGAGAGCAGCAACCAUAUCUACAAGCUUGAAGUUGGAACAGUCCAAGAAUCAGCUGAAAAAAAAAGGAAAAAGUUGAAGUCAAGAGCAAAAAGUACAGUCAAGGCAGAAAUAAAUUGAAAACAAUAGUAGAGGAGCUUACCAGAUUCGGGAAUGAUAUCCCAGAUGGGGUGGUGCAACGGUUCUAUUGAUCAAAGCCCCAACCCCCUAGAAACUAGUUUCAACAAGAUAUAUUAAGGAAAAGGACAAUGAAUCUUAACAAAAGCAAGAAGAGGGAGCUAUAGAGUGAAGUAGAUAGACAGAGCAAUGAUGAAAUACAUAAGGGAGAAAGAUGGAAGACCAUCCAAAGGAGAACACUGACUAGCUGGGAGUUUUGCCUACAACACUCCGACAACAUGCUUGAAAUGCGGCGGCCUUUGAGGAAAUGUAAAGAGGAAGAUUUGGAAAGGCUUAGUAGCAUUCUUAUAGUAG